UACGUAGGGGGCAAGCGUUGUCCGGAAUCAUUGGGCGUAAAGCGCGUGUAGGCGGCUCGAUAAGUCUGCUGUGAAAGUCCAGGGCUCAACCCUGGGAUGCCGGUGGAUACUGUCGAGCUCGAGUCCGGAAGAGGCGAGUGGAAUUCCUGGUGUAGCGAUGAAAUGCGCAGAUAUCAGGAGGAACACCAAUGGCGAAGGCAGCUCGCUGGGACGUGACUGACGCUGAGACGCGAAAGCGUGGGGAGCAAACAGG
rnacentral:rRNA from 1 species